UCUAACCCGGUCCUUCAUUUACGGUCCGGGAGUGAUUUUUGGCAGCUGCUUUUGGCGGGAUCGGUAUCCUCUGCACUUCUUGUGUCCAGGAGUUGGUGUGCUCCCAUCACCUUACCUGAAGGUCGGACGAACAGGGUAAGUUGCUCUGGCUGACCCCCAGAGUAUUUUUUACUUGGGGAUAUUCUCACUGCAACUCCCUUAGUCCUGACCAGGUGGUUUGGCUGGUUUAUGAGCUCCCUCCAGCAGAGAUAGUGUAUGAGUCUGGGUAUUGUUUUUCAAAUUGUUUCUACCUUCAUUUUUAUAUAUUACUUUUUAUAUGUGCACAUUUCUAGUUCCAG